rnacentral:sRNA from 1 species
UUGUAUAGGUGAUUGUCUUUUGUUUUCAAUAGGAAUUGAAAGCCGUAAGUUAGAAAUUGCUAAUAAUACUAACGAUGGCUUCGUGAUAAGUGACAGUAUGCGGUCUCCUCACCAUAAAUUCAUACCAUCUUCAUUUAAAGUUAUUUUGUUAAAACAGGAUAUCUGCAAAUAAACAUUUAGCAGGGUCUAACAGACAACACAGUUCCUUUUUACAACAAAUGAAAAUGAAUUUCUAACUGGAGAGCUCUUAGUAGCUCUGUGGUUGAGUGAGUUGGUUCCUUGCGUGCAGCCCGUGUCCUGGCGUGGUGAUGCCGCACAGCUCAGCAAGGCGUCCCCCUUCGGGGAAGCUGGGCGACACACACAUAGGACCUGUCUCUGCUACUUUCUGUACUUUUUGUGAGUCAGAUUCUUUCAAAAUAAAAAAUGAAGUAAAAAUGACAUUUUCAUUUGGGGUCAGGGUAGGGGAAUGGGUACAAUGCUUUUUGAGUUGUUUGUUCAUCUUUAAAAUAAUAAAUAGUACCUAGAAAUCUAAAUAUUUUGUUUUGGGGCUUUUGUUGCUACCGGAGGUUGAAUUUUUGCAGAACUAGUGUUUUCUUGUUAUUCUCAAGUGGCCUGUGAUGUGUCUUGGCGUGUUUGCCGUGUCUGAGGGUGUCUUGGUGUGUUUCUACUCAUGACCGUCUCCUCCUCUCGUUCUUUGUAGGGCAACCUCCAGAUCCAUCACGUGGGGCAGGACGGUCAGGUGCUGCAGGGUGCACAGCUGAUCGCCGUGGCCUCCUCGGACCCCACGGCAGCAGGCGUGGA